ensembl:snRNA U6 U6 spliceosomal RNA
GCCAUCGACGUUGGUUGCAUGGCAGGAGAGAAUUGGAACGCUGCAGAGAGGACCAGCAUGGCCCCCUGCGCAUAGAUGACACGGAACCUCGUGAAGUGUCCUCCCGUUCU